rnacentral:rRNA from 1 species
GACGAACGCUGGCGGCGUGCCUAAUACAUGCAAGUAGAACGCUGAAGAGAGGAGCUUGCUCUUCUUGGAUGAGUUGCGAACGGGUGAGUAACGCGUAGGUAACCUGCCUUGUAGCGGGGGAUAACUAUUGGAAACGAUAGCUAAUACCGCAUAACAAUGGAUGACACAUGUCAUUUAUUUGAAAGGGGCAAUUGCUCCACUACAAGAUGGACCUGCGUUGUAUUAGCUAGUAGGUGAGGUAAUGGCUCACCUAGGCGACGAUACAUAGCCGACCUGAGAGGGUGAUCGGCCACACUGGGACUGAGACACGGCCCAGACUCCUACGGGAGGCAGCAGUAGGGAAUCUUCGGCAAUGGGGGCAACCCUGACCGAGCAACGCCGCGUGAGCGAAGAAGGUUUUCGGAUCGUAAAGCUCUGUUGUAAGUCAAGAACGGGUGUGAGAGUGGAAAGUUCACACUGUGACGGUAGCUUACCAGAAAGGGACGGCUAACUACGUG